CGGAUCGCUCACGCAUCCAAUGCCUCCGGCGUUUCUCUCCUGCUGGCUGCGCACCCUUUCUCUCCCUAUAAACAUCGAUCAUCGUGAAGAGGGUGUCGCAUGAAUCAAGGCAAGGAUUGCACGAGUUCGUUGCCGUGUCGUGUCGUGGUCUGCUCGAUCUCGGCGCUUCACGCCGACAGGCGGCCGCGGCGGAGGCCGAGCACCCUUACGUGGCUCGUCGUCGCCCAGCGGCCGGUUCCAGCCGCCGACGAGUAGUACGACCAGCAGAUCCCAUCCUUCUCGCACUUUUUUGCCAAUGGAUAUGUCUGCUGCCGGCAUAUAAGGCUGCGGUGGCGAGCACCGUCCGCAUGGCAGAGGAGUUCCUGGAGAGAAGACGUGCUUUAAGCAGCAGGCGAUGGAGGGCCGGCCAGAGGAGGAGCAGGAGCAGUGUCGGUAGAGUUUCUCUCAGCUUGCCUUGUGAUUACUACAGUUUUUUUCUCAGAUCGAUUAUGCAGGCAGUGUGCAUCUUCUUCUUAGUUUACUUGUAGUUGGAGGCUGUUUUCUUUUCCAGCUUUGUGUGCAGUGCGCUGUCACAUCUUUUGGUUGUCCUUGUUUUGGUCCACUUUUCUGUUCUAGUUAACCAUAUUGUAGAGUCACGUA